ACCUGACCAUUACUUACCUCAAACACUACUGCAUCAAAGCUGGGACCGAGAGACUGGAAAAACAGCUUCUAUCUCAAGGCCAUCAGACUGUUAAACAGCCAUCUGUCACACCUUUGUGUUUUCUUUAAUUAUUUGUUCAGGCCAGGGUGUGACAUGGGGUUAUUGUAUUGUCGUAUUUGUAGGCAUUUUUUUUUUUACCUUUAUUUAACUAGUCAAGUCAGUUAAGAACAAAUUCUUACUUUCAAUGAUGGCCUAGGAACAGUGGGUUAACUGCCUGUUCAGGGGCAGAACGACAGAUUUGUACCUUGUCAGCUCGGGGGUUUGAACUUGCAACCUUCCGGUUACUAAUCCAACGCUCUAACCACUAGGCUACCCUGCCGCCCCAGUGUGGUUGAUUAGGGGUGUGUCUAGUAUAGGCUUGGCUGCCUGAGGCGGUUCUCAAUCAGAGUCAGGUGAUUCUUGUUGUCUCUGAUGGGGAACCGUAUUUAGGUAGCCUGGGUUUCACUGUGUAUUUGGUGGGUGAUUGUUCCUGUCUCUGUGUAGUUUCACCAGAUAGGCUAUAAUAGGUUUCAUGUUCCUGUCUCUGUGUAGUUUCACCAGAUAGGCUAUAAUAGGUUUCAUGUUCCUGUCUCUGUGUAGUUUCACCAGAUAGGCUAUAAUAGGUUUCAUGUUCCUGUCUCUGUGUAGUUUCACCAGAUAGGCUAUAAUAGGUUUCAUGUUCCUGUCUCUGUGUAGUUUCACCAGAUAGGCUAUAAUAGGUUUCAUGUUCCUGUCUCUGUGUAGUUUCACCAGAUAGGCUAUAAUAGGUUUCAUGUUCCUGUCUCUGUGUAGUUUCACCAGAUAGGCUAUAAUAGGUUUCAUGUUCCUGUCUCUGUGUAGUUUCACCAGAUAGGCUAUAAUAGGU